AGGACGAACGCUGGCGGCGCGCUUAACACAUGCAAGUCGAGCGAGAACCGGGGCUUCGGCCCCGGGGACAGCGGCGAACGGGUGAGUAACACGUGGAUAACCUGCCCUCGGCACCGGGAUAGCCCGGGGAAACCCGGAUUAAUACCGGAUGGCCCUUCCGACUUUCGAGUCGGUCGGCAAAGGUAGCUUCGGCCUCCGGCCGAGGAUGGGUCCGCGGCGGAUUAGCUUGUUGGUGGGGUAAUGGCCUACCAAGGCUUCGAUCCGUAGCUGGUCUGAGAGGACGAUCAGCCACACUGGGACUGAGACACGGCCCAGACUCCUACGGGAGGCAGCAGUGGGGAAUCUUGCGCAAUGGGCGAAAGCCUGACGCAGCGACGCCGCGUGAGGGACGACGGCCUUCGGUGUAAACCUCUUUCAGGAGGGACGAAGCUACUCGGUUAAUAGCCCAGAGGUGACGGUACCUCCGGAAGAAGCCCCGGCUAACGACGUGCUAGCAGCCGC
rnacentral:rRNA from 1 species